rnacentral:rRNA from 1 species
CCUACGGGUGGCAGCAGUGAGGAAUAUUGGUCAAUGGGCGAGAGCCUGAACCAGCCAAGUCGCGUGUAGGAUGACGGCCCUACGGGUUGUAAGCAUCUUUUGUCAGGGAGCAGUUGUGUACACGUGUGGUCUUAGCGAGAGUACCUGAAGAAAAAGCAUCGGCUAACUCCGUGCCAGCAGCCGCGGUAAUACGGAGGAUGCGGGCGUUCUCCGGUUUUAUUGGGUUUACGGGGUGCGUAGGCGGAAUAUCAAGUCAGCGGUAAAAAGUCGGGGCUCACCCCCGUCGUGCCGUUGAAACUGGUGUGCUUGAGUGGGCUAGAAGUAGGUGGAAUUCAUGGUGUAGCGGUGAAAUGCUUAGAGAUCAUGAAGAACUCCGAUCGCGAAGGCAAGUGUCCGGGGUGCAACUGACGCUGAGGCUCGAAAGUGCGGGUAUCAAACAGGAUUAGAUACCCGAGUAGUC